CCUACGGGUGGCAGCAGUGGGGAAUAUUGGACAAUGGGCGAAAGCCUGAUCCAGCCAUGCCGCGUGUGUGAAGAAGGCCUUCGGGUUGCAAAGCACUUUCAGUGGGGAAGAAAGCCUUGGGGUUAAUACCCUCGAGGAAGGACAUCACCCACAGAAGAAGCACCGGCUAACUCCGUGCCAGCAGCCGCGGUAAUACGGAGGGUGCGAGCGUUAAUCGGAAUUACUGGGCGUAAAGCGCGCGUAGGCGGUCUGAUAAGCCGGUUGUGAAAGCCCCGGGCUCAACCUGGGAACGGCAUCCGGAACUGUCAGGCUAGAGUGCAGGAGAGGAAGGUAGAAUUCCCGGUGUAGCGGUGAAAUGCGUAGAGAUCGGGAGGAAUACCAGUGGCGAAGGCGGCCUUCUGGACUGACACUGACGCUGAGGUGCGAAAGCGUGGGUAGCAAACAGGAUUAGAUACCCCAGUAGUC
rnacentral:rRNA from 1 species